UACGUAGGGACCAAGCGUUGUCCGGAAUCAUUGGGCGUAAAGAGCGUGUAGGCGGCUUGUUAAGUCAGGGGUGAAAUCCUGGAGCUCAACUCCAGAACUGCCUUUGAUACUGAAGAUCUUGAGUCCGGGAGAGGUGAGUGGAACUGCGAGUGUAGAGGUGAAAUUCGUAGAUAUUCGCAAGAACACCAGUGGCGAAGGCGGCUCACUGGCCCGGUACUGACGCUGAGGCACGAAAGCGUGGGGAGCAAACAGG
rnacentral:rRNA from 1 species